GAUGCUAAUACCGGAUAACAACAGAUGAUGCCUAUCAACUGUUUAAAAGAUGGUUCUGCUAUCACUCUUGGAUGGACCUGCGGUGCAUUAGCUAGUUGGUAGGGUAACGGCCUACCAAGGCGAUGAUGCAUAGCCGAGUUGAGAGACUGAUCGGCCACAUUGGGACUGAGACACGGCCCAAACUCCUACGGAGGCAGCAGC
rnacentral:rRNA from 1 species